UUUAACAUUUUGAGGUAAAGAUAAUGACAAUUUAAGGAGAUCAAGUCAGGCAGCCCAGGUGUCUGUAACAUUAACCUUUUGUCUUCAUGCACUUCCUAACCAUUUGGCUCAAGAUACAGCGGUGCCUUUGUCUCUAUGAUAAUGUAAAGGUAUGGGCGAUACUGUCAGACUGAUUGGAUUAGCACCUAUGCAUUUGAAUGACACCGUUAUGCUGAUUAGAUCAUGGCUGGGAAAUGUAGGGAAUGGGCUGAUUCCUGCACUGCAUUUGCAUGCUUUGUUUAGAUUGUCUCCACCUCUACUCUAUGUAUCCCUCCCCCUUGAAUGUAUAUGAACUACCAAGUACACUGCCUUGGUUGGACUUGGAUGACUACAGCGACCCACAGCACGUUUCUCAAUAAAGAGUAACUUCUGCUUGAAAGAUAUCCCAACGUCUCCUGGUCUCUGCUUCGACGAGGAAAAAGUUUCCUACAGUUUUGGUGCCGUGACCCGGAUAGAGCUUCUCACCUCAAUCCUGAUUGAAACUUCAAGCACAACAAAGAUCUGAUCCAAAAGAAGAUCCAAGCUGAAUUUUCCUGUACACCAAAGGGUUGGUAUGUGUAUAUGCCAUGACGGCUCAUAAGCAGCACCUGGUGUAAAGCAUCACCUCAGAUAUCCAUGAACAACCUUCAUGAAGACAGAGUCAUCUGAGCAACUCGGAGUUGCACAACGACAAAGAAUCAUCUGAGCAACUUGGGACAAACAUGGAAAUGCAUUGGAAAUGGACUCUACAGGGAACAGACUCCACAGCUAUUCAGGCGCCAUGGACUUUUAGGACUUCCACGCUUAUGCUACAUGGUUUUCUGUGUCAUCAUGUAGUUUAUACAACAUAUUACCACCCUGUGUUGUAUAUGUGUGUCAACAGUAUACUCAAGUUAAAGAACAACACUUAUGUAAAUGUUGGACACGACAUAGAAUAAGAUGUAUGUGCCUGUAUCGGUUACAAGUUACAUGACUGGAAGAUGGGACUUAUGUUAACAAACAUAGGUUAAAGAAGGGAUUUAAGAAGGUUUAAAUUUGUAUUAUGUGAGAGUUAUUAGAACUCUCAAAGGGGGGACUGUGGGAUUACAAAUUUAAGAAUCUGUUUAAGAUCUGCUGAUCCUACAUCCUGACAUAACCUCACAUGAAAUAUUAAGGUGAAGUAUAUUGUAUUUAACAUUUUGAGGUAAAGAUAAUGACAAUUUAAGGAGAUCAAGGCAGGCAGCCCAGGUGUCUGUAACAUUAACCUUUUGUCUUCAUGCACUUCCUAACCAUUUGGCUCAAGAUACAGCUGUGCCUUUGUCUCUAUGAUAAUGUAAAGGUAUGGGCCAUACUGUCAGACUGAGUGGAUUAGCACGUAUACAUUUGAAUGACACCGUUAUGCUGAUUAGAUCAUGGCUGGGAAAUGUAGGGAAUGGGCUGAUUCCUGCACUGCAUUUGCAUGCUUUGUUUAGAUUGUCUCCACCUCUACUCUAUGUAUCCCUCCCCCUUGAAUGUAUAUGAACUACCAAGUACACUGCCUUGGUUGGACUUGGAUGACUACAGCGACCCACAGCACGUUUCUCAAUAAAGAGUAACUUCUGCUUGAAAGAUA